AAGCCAUGUUGUGGGCAUCAAAUGACAAGAUCCUUGAACCACUCCCAACGUUGGAAAAAUGUCUCACCUUCCUUUUGGGCGAAGUUCAUGAUCGACUUCCUAAUGGU